rnacentral:lncRNA from 1 species
AUACGUUUGUUUAGGAAGAGACUGGAUUUCACUUGUCAACUUACCCCAUCACCACGAGUCAUUUAAUGUUGGUAACGCCAGCCACGAUUUUUCGUAUCUAUAACACCCCUUCUUCCAUUGAAUUCUACCUACAAAUAACUGAAGGCUCACAUUAUUUUGGAAUAUGGACCUCCGCCUCUUGUGGAGACUUGAGAUUGCUCUUAAGCUGAUUUCCCAAACAGGGGCUGCAAUGUGUGUUCCCGAUUUUAGAUUCAUUGAGCUCACCCUAGAUGAGUCCUUUGGUUCGGUGGUUCGGAAAAGUCUCUUUGUUCCUUCUCCAAACUCAAUGUUCCAGGAUCUCUUGGUGCUCGUGCCAGUGUCUCAUGUAGAAUGUUGCGUGAUCUCUGCUCAAGAAUCUGAGUCACAAGGUUGAUGCCUUCACAGAUGACAGAACAGAAGUUCCCUGAGUACCCGAGUCUGUCUUUGCUGUUUCUAAGGUAGUGAUUAUUAAAAUGUCAAGGGAAAUGAAA